UCGCGGCCAAUCAGCUUGUUGGUGAGGUAACGGCUCACCAAGGCAUCGACGGGUAGCUGGUCUGAGAGGAUGAUCAGCCACUCUGGGACUGAGACACGGCCCAGACUCCUACGGGAGGCAGGAGUGGGGAAUAUUGCACAAUGGGCGCAAGCCUGAUGCAGCGACGCCGCGUGGGGGAUGAAUGCCUUCGGGUUGUAAACCCCUUUCAGGAGGGACGAAGCGAAAGUGACGGUACCUCCAGAAGAAGCCCCGGCCAACUACGUGCCAGCAGCCGCGGUAAUACGUAGGGGGCGAGCGUUGUCCGGAUUUAUUGGGCGUAAAGAGCUCGUAGGCGGCUCAACAAGUCGGCCGUGAAAGCCUGAGGCUCAACCUCAGGACGCCGGUCGAAACUGUUGUGGCUAGGGUUCGGUAGAGGAGAGUGGAAUUCCCGGUGUAGCGGUGAAAUGCGCAGAUAUCGGGAGGAACACCAGUAGCGAAGGCGGCUCUCUGGGCCGACACCGACGCUGAGGAGCGAAAGCUAGGGGAGCAAACAGGAUUAGAUACCCUGGUAGUCCUAGCCGUAAACGUUGGGUACUAGGUGUGGCGGAUUCAUUGACAUCUGCCGUGCCGAAGCUAACGCAUUAAGUACCCCGCCUGGGGAGUACGGA
rnacentral:rRNA from 1 species